GACGAACGCUGGCGGCGUGCUUAACACAUGCAAGUCGAACGGAAAGGCUCCAGCUUGCUGGAGUACUCGAGUGGCGAACGGGUGAGUAACACGUGGGUAAUCUGCCCUGCACUCUGGGAUAAGCCUGGGAAACUGGGUCUAAUACUGGAUAUGACCUUUCUCCUUAUGGGGUUUGGUGGAAAGUUUUUCGGUGUAGGAUGAGCCCGCGGCCUAUCAGCUUGUUGGUGGGGUGAUGGCUUACCAAGGCGACGACGGGUAGCCGGCCUGAGAGGGUGAUCUGCCACAUUGGGACUGAGAUACGGCCCAGACUCCUACGGGAGGCAGCAGUGGGGAAUAUUGCACAAUGGGCGGAAGCCUGAUGCAGCGACGCCGCGUGAGGGAUGACGGCCUUCGGGUUGUAAACCUCUUUCAGCAGGGACGAAGCGUAAGUGACGGUACCUGCAGAAGAAGCACCGGCUAACUAUGUG
rnacentral:rRNA from 1 species